rnacentral:rRNA from 1 species
UACGUAGGGUGCGAGCGUUGUCCGGAAUUAUUGGGCGUAAAGGGCUCGUAGGCGGUCUGUCGCGUCGGGAGUGAAAACUCAGGGCUUAACCCUGAGCCUGCUUCCGAUACGGGCAGACUAGAGGUAUGCAGGGGGGAACGGAAUUCCUGGUGUAGCGGUGAAAUGCGCAGAUAUCAGGAGGAACACCGGUGGCGAAGGCGGUUCUCUGGGCAUUACCUGACGCUGAGGAGCGAAAGUGUGGGGAGCGAACAGG